rnacentral:rRNA from 1 species
AUGGCUAGCCAAAUAUCUGGUACCAUAGCAUCUAGUGGGGUGUGCUAUAAUGAUAAACACAGAAUGCCGUGUAAGCUGAAAGCACUACGCUGUGUAGCAUCGGAUUGUUUACCACAAGAGGUAGAGGUAAGGAAGUGGAUGAACGGAUAUCAUAUCAUCAGGUCCUUUCCAAACGAUAGGCAUUGGAAAACGAAUGCAAAGUCCAAUGGUUACCUACUCCAACAAGGUCCGAAUGUUCGGUGCCAUUCUUAUGGUUCUCGUAGUGGCAGUGAAACUACAGAGUGCAAUAUUCCUGAAGAUGGCAACAAUCCUUACAGGGAUUUUGAUGAGCAUCGAAGAGGAAUGUCACAUUUUUCAGAUAGUCAAGUUGCAGCUCAGGAAAAAACACUAUAUUCUACUCAAGGGCUGUCUAAAGCGUGCCAAUUUGUCUAUAAUGAUGCAAAGUUUGUGAAUGAAAGAGCUCAGAGUGAUAUUCUUUUGCUUUCACGUGGCAUCACAAGGUUGAACAAACGUGCAUCUAAGGAUGUUGCUGUAUUAGGGUUGGGGUUUCUCAAGCUUGAUGCUCGUGCAAGGAAGGACACCCGAAAGAUUGAUAACAGUGUGAAGGAACAGGCAGCCCACCUAACCAAUUUCGCUAGAAUAUUGAAGGAGCGAGCUCAUUCAGACUUGAAGAAAGCAGCAGAUCAACAUUGGAGUGAUGGUGCUUUGGAGGCAGAUCUGCGACGAGCUGACAUGGUUGUUCGACGACGUGCCAUGGAGGAUGCUUUCAUGGCUUUAAAGUUUGUCCGGGAUAUUCAUGACAUGAUGGCAACCAAACUACAAUAUCAGUUCAUCACACUGGAGAAAAAUGGGAAGAUUCUUAAGUUGUUCCCUCGUGAAGUUUCUACUGAUCAAAUUGCUGCCAUAGAGGAUGCAUAUCUUAAUAUGGCAUCUGCCUUAUCUGAGGCUGAUGGUAUCGACUACACCAAUCCUGAGGAGCUUGAAUUAUUAGUAGCGGCUCUUAUUGACCUGGAUGCUAUGGAUGGGAAAAAGAGUGUUUCCUUGAUAGUUGAAUGUUCAAGCUCUCCAGAUGUUAAUACCAGGAAAGCUUUGGCUAAUGCAUUGGCUGCAGCUCCAUCCAUGUGGACCCUAGGGAAUGCUGGGAUGGGCGCAUUACAGAGAUUGGCUCAAGAUUCCAAUCCCGCUGUAGCUAGCUCUGCAGCAAGAGCCAUUGGCGAACUCAGAAAGCAGUGGGAGCUUGAAGAGGGUGACAGUCUGAGGUUUGUCAUGAACCAAAACUUGAUUUCCGAAGAGACUGACAGCGACAGUUGA